UACUCGUAUAUUAACCUGUUCUAACUUGUCUUAUUAAGAUAAGUUAGGAAUUUGUUGUUUACCAUAAAAACAGGAUGUUCUUAGAUAAGAUAAGAUUUUGUGGUUAACCAGAAAUGGAAUUACGUAGGUUUAACUUGUUCUAACUUGUUUUAUUACGAUAAGAUAUGUUUAUUAACGUGUUCAGACUUGUCUUCUUAUUCAGAAAAGAUAUUUAAGAAGUGGAUAUUAUCAUUUGAUUCAGUUGGCUUCCAUGUAAACAAGUGAGUGAUACCAUUUUUUCAAAUUCUUCUUUACAAAAGAAAUAAAAAUGGAAAAUAAUCUUCCAAAUAAUUAUGUAAAUAAUUAAGACCCAGAAUCUCUAAUUGUUGAUGAACCCUCAGCUUCAACAAAUUUUGAAGACCCUUCAGGCAGUGAAAACAAUGAAGUUGGUCCAGAUGAAAUUUUAUUACAAUUAAAUCAACGAGGUGCAUGUGAAUUGCCUCCACUUAUUAAAAUAGAUUCUCUAAUUCAGAAGAAAGAAUAUAAAAUAAGAAAUCUCAUAAGAUUGAAAACAAAAACAGGAUGGGGCAUUAUAUGCGAAAUUAAUGAGGGUAACUUCUUUGUUCCUCAAAGAAUUGUAUCAACUUUAAAUAACAGAGCCAUAAAAUAUCUGUUAAGUGGAAAAGGUUCCGUAAUAAUUUACUUAGGGAAAAAAAAAACGGGACAGGUGAACUGGGCUAAUAUUGUCGAGUUUAAAAAGAUCACAUAAUUAUGUCUGCUUCCCCGUUAACAACAUUAUCAUCAUCAUUGAAAUUUGAAAAAAAUUUACGAAAAUUAGGAGCUUUUAAGAUUAACAUUAUAUUAAAUUGUAUUUAUCAAUUUAAAGUAACUAAAGAACAUGCCUUUCGAAGUUUUAACACCCAGAAUCAAUCAGUCUUUCACUCUGAAGAAAUUCCUUCAAUUUUAGAAAAUUUAUUUGAUGCUCUAUUAAAUCAGAUGGAUGAUUUCACUGAAAAUAAGUCUUGUGAAGCUUGAGAAAGUAUUGAAAAUUUGAUGAUUUCCAUAAACAAAUUAUCGAUAUUUAAUAUAUCGCAAAAUGAAGAAGAAGAUACCACCUCUCAUUCUAGUGACUCUGGGGGAACAUACAUUCCUCUUCCUAUUGAGCUGAAAGGAAAAGGUUCUUGUUUUAUUAAUAUUUUUAAUAAGGAUAAUUAUUGUUUUGAUUAUUCUAUCUUGGCUGCACUUUUUCCUGUUAAUCACUCUAAAUAUGAGAGAGUUGAAUCUUAUCCUAGUAAUGUUCAUGAAAUUUUAAACUUAAAAAAUAUUGAAAUGCCUGUUAAAAUAAAAGAUAUUUCCAAAUUUGAAAAACAGAAUCCUACUAUUUCUAUUAAUGUAUUUAAAUUCAACGGAAAAACCCGACAAAUUGACGGUUCUAUUUAUCAUACAAAAAAUGUAAAAGGAAAACAUAUAAAUUUAUUAUAUUUAACUAAAAAUAAUAUUAACACUAAUGGUCAUUAUUGCUUAAUUACUAAUCUUGCAAAAGCAUGUGGAAGCAGCAUAAGUAAAAAUGAGCAUCAAAUAUUUUUUUGUGAUCGUUGUUUACAACAUAUUCCUUCGAAAUCAAAAGAUAAAAUUGAUAGACAUAAACGGGAUUGUUCAACAUUUCCUACAGUUAAAACACGCUUACCUGAACCGAAUUCUCCAGAAAGUCUUUUACAUUUUUCACAGUUUAAAUCAUUGCUACGUUUACCAUUUGUUAUAUAUGCAGACUUAUGUUCUUUUGAUAGUAAAUUAGAUAGUUAUAAGACUUAUAGAGAAGAAAAGCCUCAAGAGUGGUUUAUUUCAGUAUUAAAAGAAAUUUGCAAAUUUGUAAAUAAAAUAUUGUUAAAACAAAAGAAAAUACUAAAUAAACCUUUAUCAGAAUUAGAAAAAGAGUUACAUGAAACAACUAAUAAUUGUAAUUUAUGUGGUUGCAACUUUACAGAUAAUAAUAAAAAAGUUAUACAUCAUAACAUUCAUAACCAUUUAACUGGUGAAUUUAUUUCUACAAUAUGCAAUAAUUGUAAUUUACAAAUUCAAAUUUCAAAUAAGUUGCCAGUUUUUUUACAUAAUUUGUCUGGAUAUGACGCUCACCUUUUUUUUACAGAGUUUAUUAAUAAUUUUUCAAAUACCAAUAAAAACCAUUGAAUCAUGAAAAUUAUAUUUCAUUUUCAGGAAUACAUUGUAACAUGAAAAUUACGUUUUUAGAUUCUUUUCGCUUUCUACCUACAUCAUUUGAUAAACUUGUAUCUUUUUUAAAGCCAAAUCAGUUUUCUCUUAUGAAAGCUUUUUUCCCCAAUGUUACAGAUGAUGUUUUUCAAUUAUUAUUAAAAAAAGGAGUAUUUCCGUAUGAUUAUAUCACUUCCUCAUCUGUCUUCGAAGAUACCCAAUUACCAACAAAACCACAAUUUUUCAAUCGAAUGACAAAUAAACAUAUUUCAGAUAAAGAUUAUUUUCAUGCACAGAAUGUUUGAGAAAAAUUUGGAAUUAAAACUUUAGGAGAAUACUCCGAUUUAUAUUUAAAAUGUGAUGUAAUUCAAUUAGCUGAUGUUUUCGAAAAUUUUCGCGACUUAACAAUGAAAUAUUACCAACUUGAUGCUGCAUCCUUCUAUACUAGUCCAGGCCUUUCAUGGGCAACUGCUUUAAAAAUCACAAAAGUUAAACUUGAAUUGUUUACCGAUAGUGAAAUGUUUUUGUUUAUCGAAAAAUCAAUACGCGGAGGAAUUACUCAAGCGGUACAUAGAUAUGCUGAAUGUAAUAAUACACAUUAUUCAAAAACAUAUGAUCCUACAACACCUAUAGAUUAUCUUUUUUAUAUCGAUGCUAACAAUUUAUAUGGCUGGGCUUUAAGUCAAAAGUUACCUAUUGGAAAUUUUCAUUGGUUAUCAACAAAUGAUAUUAAUGAAAUUUUCGCUGAGCCUCAAAAAUUAAAUACUAAUGAUAACAAAGGAUUUAUUUUAGAAGUUGACUUAUAUCAUGAUAAAAGUAUACACGAUAAACAUGAUGAUUUUCCUUUUUGUCCUGAACCACGAAAUUCAAAGUUAAUGUGUACGUUAUAUGAUAAACAAAAUUACGUUAUACAUUAUAAAAAUUUGUUACAGUGUAUAAAAUAUGGUUUACAAAUUAAAAAAAUUCAUCGAGUUUUAACAUUUGACCAAGACGCAUGGUUAAAAUCUUAUAUUGAAUUUAAUACAAAAUUGCGUAUGGAUGCUAAAAAUGAAUUCGAGAAAGGAUUUUUUAAACUUUUAAUAAAUUCUAUCUUUGGAUAAACAUUAGAAUCAGACCGGAAAAAACGUAAAAUUGAAUUAGUAAAAAAUUGGAAACAAGCCAGAAAAUACAUUCUAUAACUAGAAUUUAAAAACGUUAAAAUAUUAAAUAAGAAUUUAGUUAGCAUCGAAUUAAAUAAAACCGAAAUCAAAAUGAAAAGGCCAAUCUACGUAGGAUUUACUAUUUUAGAAUUAUCAAAAAUUAUUAUGUACGAUUUUCAUUAUGAUUUUAUUAAUAAGCAAAUAAAAAAUUAUUUUCAUUCAAAAUUAUUAUAUAUGGAUACAGAUAGUUUUAUUUAUAAAAUGACAUGUAAAAAAAAAAAUUAUUCUCUUUAUGAUCUAAUACGAGAUUUUGCAAAUUCAAAAUUUGAUACUAGUGAUUAUGAUGUAAAUAAUAUUUGGAAUAUCCUUCUUGUAAAUAAAAAAAUUCCAGGAUUAAUGAAAGAUGAAUUGAAUGGUAAAAUUCUUACAGAGUUUAUUACUCUAAGACCAAAAGUUUAUGAUUAUAAAGUGAAUGGAGAAGUAAAAGAGCCUAAAAUUAAGGGAAUUAAAAAAAGUGCAGUCAUUAUAGAAAAUGACGAACCAAAAAAUAAACAACAAAAAUUAUGCAAUAGUGUUGAUUUUGUAGAUAAUGUUAAUAAUGGUAGUUAUAGGAUUACUAAUACUAGAAAAAUAGAAUUUAACGAUAUAUAUGAAUGUUUAUUUAAUAAUACAGUACGUUAUGUUAAUUUUAAUACUAUAAGAUCAAUUAAUCAUGAACUAUUUUUUGUAAAUAUUAAUAAGUUAGGAUUGAAUGCAUUAGAUAAUAAGAGAUAUAUUUUAGAUGAUCUAAUUAGUACUCACGCUUGGGGGCAUUAUUCAAUUACCUAACCCCUUCUAAGUUUUUGUAAAAUUUAAUUUUUUUUUUCAAAUAUUUUUUCCAAAUAUUAAUAAAAUAUUUGUUUGUUCUAUUUCCUGUUUUAUUUUUUAUCGAACCUAGUACGUAUUUACUUAGAUAAACAUUAGCGUUGUAAACAACUCCCCCACUCGAACCCUCUAUCUAUACCAAACAGUGUAAAAGUCAACUUGCUGUUUUUCAACUGUAUCAGUGUCUUAUUGAGUUAAAAGGUACUAUUUUAAAAACUAAAAAAAAAAAUGGAAAAAGUACGUAAACCUUCAAUAUACAAUACUCCCGAUGAAAUUGUCAUAUGUCCAUACGACCCCAAACAUAAAGUGCUUGUUUCGGCUUGAGCGGCACAUAUGGAAGUGCCAUCAAGCCGAAAAAAGAAAAAAGGAAGACCAAGCAAAGCAGAGCGUAGAUCACCCCUCUCAACUUUCGGUUUGACAAAAAAAAAUAAUAAAUAAAAAACUACAUA